rnacentral:rRNA from 1 species
GAGCAUAUCAAUAAGCGGAGGAAAAGAAACCAACAGGGAUUGCCCCAGUAACGGCGAGUGAAGCGGCAACAGCUCAAAUUUGAAAUCUGGCCCUCGGGUCCGAGUUGUAAUUUGUAGAGGAUGCUUUUGGUGAGGUGCCUUCCGAGUUCCCUGGAACGGGACGCCAUAGAGGGUGAGAGCCCCGUCUGGUUGGACACCGAGCCUCUGUAAAGCUCCUUCGACGAGUCGAGUAGUUUGGGAAUGCUGCUCUAAAUGGGAGGUAUAUGUCUUCUAAAGCUAAAUACCGGCCAGAGACCGAUAGCGCACAAGUAGAGUGAUCGAAAGAUGAAAAGCACUUUGAAAAGAGGGUUAAAUAGUACGUGAAAUUGUUGAAAGGGAAGCGCUUGUGACCAGACUUGAGCCCGGUUAAUCAUCCAGCCUUCUGGCUGGUGCACUUGGCCGGCUCAGGCCAGCAUCAGUUCGGCGCGGGGGAUAAAGGCUUCGGGAAUGUGGCUCCUCCGGGAGUGUUAUAGCCCGUUGUGUAAUACCCUGUACUGGACUGAGGUUCGCGCAUCUGCAAGGAUGCUGGCGUAAUGGUCAUCAGCGACCCGUCUUGAAACACGGACCAAGGAGUCGUCCUCGUAUGCGAGUGUUCGGGUGUCAAACCCCUACGCGUAAUGAAAGUGAACGCAGGUGAGAGCUUCGGCGCAUCAUCGACCGAUCCUGAUGUUCUCGGACGGAUUUGAGUAAGAGCAUACGGGGCCGGACCCGAAAGAAGGUGAACUAUGCCUGUAUAGGGUGAAGCCAGAGGAAACUCUGGUGGAGGCUCGCAGCGGUUCUGACGUGCAAAUCGAUCGUCAAAUAUGGGCAUGGGGGCGAAAGACUAAUCGAACCUUCUAGUAGCUGGUUUCCGCA